GACAGAGGGUGCAAACGUUGCUCGGAUUUACUGGGCGUAAAGCGCGCGUAGGCGGUUUUGUAAGUCGGGUGUGAAAUCCCCAAGCUUAACUUGGGAACUGCAUUCGAGACUGCAUAGCUAGAGUAUGGGAGAGGGAAGUGGAAUUCCCGGUGUAGUGGUGAAAUGCGUAGAUAUCGGGAGGAACACCAGUGGCGAAGGCGACUUCCUGGCCUGUUCUUGACGCUGAGGCGCGAAAAGCUAAGGGAGCAAACGGGG
rnacentral:rRNA from 1 species